GUAGGCUGCAACCCGCCUGCGUGAAGUUGGAAUUGCUAGUAAUCGCGGAUCAGCAUGCCGCGGUGAAUACGUUCCCGGGCCUUGUACACACCGCCCGUCACACCAUGGGAGCCGGUAAUGCCCGAAGUCAGUAGCCUAACCGCAAGGAGGGCGCUGCCGAAGGUAGGAUUGGCGACUGGGGUGAAGUCGUAACAAGGUACC
rnacentral:rRNA from 1 species